AACUCCUGUUUGAUUGGAUCUCAAUGGGUUACUUAGAUCUACAGUACAUAUUACAAUGACAGACAUCAGUGGAAACACUAGUGGAUGAGAGGUGUGUAGUGGAUGAGAGGUGUUUACUGGAUGAGGGGUGUUUAUUGGAUGAGGGGUGUUUAUUGGAUGAGAGGUGUGUAGAGGAUGAGGGGAGUGUAGAGGAUGAGAGGUGUUUAUUGGAUGAGAGGUGUGUAGAGGAUGAGAGGUGUGUAGUGGAUGAGAGGUGUGUAGAGGAUGAGAGGUGUGUAGAGGAUGAGAGGUGUGUAGAGGAGGAGAGAUGUGUAGAGGAUGAGAUUGGUGUAGAUGAAGAGAGUUGUGUAGAGGAGGAGAGGAUGAACUAUGACCUUUUAUUAUGACUUGAUGAUGGUUAUUAUACUGUCUUAUUGUGUCGCCCCAUGCAGCAACCAUCCCUGACAGGAACAUCACACCCUACGUUAUUACACAUAUGAUUGACUGUCAACGUGUGUGUACAUAAUUACAGAUAUGAUUGACAGCUGCAA
ensembl:lncRNA